rnacentral:rRNA from 1 species
AUCCCUUAAAAGCCGGUCUCAGUUCGGAUCGGGGUCUGCAACUCGACCCCGUGAAGUCGGAGUCGCUAGUAAUCGCAGAUCAGCAACGCUGCGGUGAAUACGUUCCCGGGCCUUGUACACACCGCCCGUCGCGUCAUGAAAGUCGGUAACACCCGAAGCCAGUGGCCUAACCCUCGGGAGGGAGCUGUCGAAGGUGGGAUCGGCGAUUGGGACGAAGUCGUAACAAGGUAGCCGUACCGGAAGGUGCGGCUGGAUCACCU